rnacentral:rRNA from 1 species
UCGAGAGGCAUCGGCAAUGGGGGAAACCCUGACCGUGCGACGCCGCGUGAGGGACGACGCCCCUCGGGGUGUAAACCUCUUUUUUGAGGGAAGAAACCUGUGUAGUCGAAUAGGCUAUGCAAUUGACGGUACCUCAAGAAUAAGCUCCGGCUAACUCCGUGCCAGCAGCCGCGGUAAUACGGGGGGAGCAAACGUUGUUCGGAAUCACUGGGCGUAAAGGGCGCGUAGGCGGCCUUGCAAGUGGUGUGUGAAAUGCCCUGGCUCAACCAGGGAACUGCGCACCAAACUGCAGGGCUUGAGGACAGUAGAGGAAACUGGAAUUCCAGGUGUAGCGGUGAAAUGCGUAGAUAUCUGGAGGAACACCGUUGGCGAAGGCGAGUUUCUGGGCUGUUCCUGACGCUGAGGCGCGAAAGCUGGGGGAGCAAACAGGAUUAGAUACCCCCGUAGUCC